rnacentral:tRNA from 4 species
GGGCGAUUAGCUCAGCGGGAGAGCACUCCCUUCACACGGGAGGGGUCACAGGUUCAAUCCCUGUAUCGCCCACCA